GAUGAACGCUGGCGGCGCGCCUAACACAUGCAAGUCGAACGAUUAAAGCACCUUCGGGUGUGUAUAAAGUGGCGAACGGCUGAGUAACACGUGGGCAACCUGCCCCUUUCAUUGGGAUAGCCACGGGAAACCGUGGAUAAUACCGAAUACUUCGAGACUUCCGCAUGGAAGACUCGAGAAAGCUCCGGCGGAGAGGGAUGGGCGCGCGGCCUGUUAGCUUGUUGGUGGGGUAACGGCCUACCAAGGCAAUGAUGGGUAGCUGGGUUGAGAGACCGACCAGCCAGAUUGGGACUGAGACACGGCCCAGACUCCUACGGGAGGCAGCAGUGGGGAAUCUUGCACAAUGGGCGAAAGCCUGAUGCAGCGACGCCGCGUGCGGGAUGAAGGCCUUCGGGUUGUAAACCGCUUUCAGCAGGGACGAGGCGAAAGUGACGGUACCUGCAGAAGAAGCCCCGGCUAACUACGUG
rnacentral:rRNA from 1 species